rnacentral:rRNA from 1 species
CGUGUAGGCGGUAUCAUAAGUCAGAUGUGAAAGUUCGGGGCUUAACCCCGGAAUUGCAUUUGAAACUGUAAUACUUGAGUACUGGAGAGGUAAGUGGAAUUCCUAGUGUAGCGGUGAAAUGCGUAGAUAUUAGGAGGAACACCAGUGGCGAAGGCGGUUGCCUGGCCUGUAACUGACGCUGAAGCACGAAAGCGUGGGGAGCAAAUAGGAUUAGAUACCCUGGUA